AAUAAGAUGCCUGAAUAAAGGAUUACUUUGAUGAAGUAAAAUAUGUAAAUAAUACUCUUAUUA
rnacentral:tRNA from 1 species